AAUAUCCUGAGGUGAUUGGCCCCAAUUUAAACCUACAACUUUAAUAAGGGAUUGCGGAGUUCUAACUUUGAUGACAAGCCUCCAAAGAGUGGACGUCAGAGAUUUUAGACAGCUUGCCCACCUUCACAUAUGCGAAGGUCUUAAACCAGGGCCCCCUCGGGAUUUUU
rnacentral:other from 1 species